rnacentral:rRNA from 1 species
GAUGAACGCUGGCGGCGUGCUUAACACAUGCAAGUCGAACGAUGAAGCCCAGCUUGCUGGGUGGAUUAGUGGCGAACGGGUGAGUAACACGUGAGUAACCUGCCCUUGACUCUGGGAUAAGCCUGGGAAACUGGGUCUAAUACUGGAUAUGACUUCCCAUCGCAUGGUGGGGGGUGGAAAGAUUUAUUGGUCUUGGAUGGACUCGCGGCCUAUCAGCUUGUUGGUGAGGUAAUGGCUCACCAAGGCGACGACGGGUAGCCGGCCUGAGAGGGUGACCGGCCACACUGGGACUGAGACACGGCCCAGACUCCUACGGGAGGCAGCAGUGGGGAAUAUUGCACAAUGGGCGCAAGCCUGAUGCAGCGACGCCGCGUGAGGGAUGACGGCCUUCGGGUUGUAAACCUCUUUCAGUAGGGAAGAAGCGAGAGUGACGGUACCUGCAGAAGAAGCGCCGGCUAACUACGUG